ACCCAACUACAGAGUAGAGUACACGACCUCGCAUCCUCACAUCCUGAUUCACAGAAACCACCAGCAGCCAAUCUCUCGUUCUCCAACUACUAACCCUAGCCGCCGCCUGCUGCUUGCCUCGAUGCACGCCGCGCCCCCCAGAACAAGGACCGGCGCCCGAGCGGUGGCCCUGGCCGGUGAAGACCGUCGCCCGAGCGGCGGCCCUGGCAGGUGAAGACGGGCGCCACGAGCGGCGGCCCUGAGCCCCUGCGCCGCCGCCAACCCCAACCUCCCGUCGAUCGCUCCACCGCCAGAAGUCCGCUGCCGGUGCUCCACCUCCCAAGGACCAGUUCAACCACUACAGUUCGUCACCACUCACCACUACCCGUCCUCUUCCACACGGUUCGUCCGCUGCCGGUGCUCCACCUCCUGAAGACCUGCCCACUUUCGGUUCUCCACAUCGCAGCUGAAGAUGUUUUCUGAACAUGAUGAGGAACUGAAUGAGAAUGAAGAUGCAUUUAUGAGUGUAGAGGCAGAUGCAGAAGCAGGAGACAAAUCUGUCUUACAUAGUAUUAUUGACGAUGAAGUUGUCGAAGGUGCCAAUCUAGAAGCUGCUCAAGAUGACAAGCCAAUUGAAGCUGAAUCAUGAAUCUUCUUACUUUGUGUCAUAUGAAUCUUGUUACUUGCUCUCAAAUGUAAACAUGUACUGGUACUGUGUUACUUGCUGUUGCAUAUAAACAUGUAUUGGUACUUUCUGCCCUCAAAUAUAAACAUGUAUUGGUACUUUCUGUCCCA